rnacentral:rRNA from 1 species
GACGAACGCUGGCGGCGUGCCUAACACAUGCAAGUCGAGCGGGAACCUCAGGAGGGGUAACCCUUCUGAGGGGAGAGCGGCGAACGGGUGAGUAACACGUGGGCAACCUGCCCCGGACACCGGGAUAACCCAGGGAAACCUGAGCUAAUACCGGAUACUCCGGCGCGAUCGCAUGGUCGUGCCGGGAAAGCCCCCGACGGUCCGGGAUGGGCCCGCGGCCUAUCAGCUUGUUGGUGGGGUAACGGCCCACCAAGGCGACGACGGGAGCUGGUCUGAGAGGACGGCCAGCCACACUGGGACUGAGACACGGCCCAGACUCCUACGGGAGGCAGCAGUGGGGGAUCUUGCGCUAAUGCGCGAAAGCGUGACGCAGCGACGCCGCGUGGGGAUGAAGGCC